rnacentral:piRNA from 1 species
UUUGAAUGUUCCUGAACUUUUUCAGUUGU